UAUUUUCUUGGAAACAGUAGGAGGAUAAACUCAAAGAGAAAAUCUCUAAAAAAUAAUGAGUCACAGCACCUAUACACCUAUUUAAGAUGAGCCAGUAUAUGUAGUAACUCCUCCACUUCGUAGAUCUAGUAGGAUCUUCCAUCUUUUAGAAAGGUACUUAGUAUUCUUACAAUGGAUUAAGAGAAAGUAUUUCUUGAGGA
rnacentral:lncRNA from 1 species